rnacentral:rRNA from 1 species
UACGUAGGGGGCUAGCGUUGUCCGGAAUUAUUGGGCGUAAAGAGCUCGUAGGCGGUGUGUCGCGUCGGCCGUGAAAACCUGCAGCUUAACUGUGGGCUUGCGGUCGAUACGGGCAUCACUGGAGUUCGGCAGGGGAGACUGGAAUUCCUGGUGUAGCGGUGAAAUGCGCAGAUAUCAGGAGGAACACCGAUGGCGAAGGCAGGUCUCUGGGCCGAUACUGACGCUGAGGAGCGAAAGCGUGGGGAGCGAACAGG